rnacentral:piRNA from 1 species
CGAUCUGCUUACAAUCAGAAA